GGGGGAAAAUAUACAGGGGGAGAAUAACUCUGACUUCAGCUGUAGAUCCAGACAGGGCACUUUAAUGUCCUUUAUUUGGUGUUGAUUUGAUCUGAGGCUGUGGUUGUCGGUCAGCUGUUGUUGUGUUUCUGUUGUCAAAUGAUGAUAAAUGCCACUUUGUGAUGGGGCGUUCGAGACAGUCUUAUCUCAAGGGUCUGUUGUGUUGAACAGUGAAAUCAUGAUCAGUUCAUCCUCUCAUAUCCACAAUCUUAUCUGUUCAUACAGGAGCAUGAGGGUUAUUAAUGUGAUGGAGUUGUGUUUUUCAGCAGACACACAUACAGUAAUUCUUGGAAAGUAUUUUCUGGAGAAGGGAUCAUUGGGCAGACACGUGUUGACAGCCAUUUUCAGUUCCCCUUACAUGCAAAUCACAUUCAGGUCAUCCAGUUAAACCCAGAGAUUGGAGAAGACUUCCAAACCCGCUCAGCCAUUCAAACAGACCACUUACAGCUCUUAAACAAACCAUGGGCAACGCUGGAUGUGACACUUGCAUGGAAUAUUGCCAUACGAAAUGCAAAUGCAAGUGUCAUAAAAAGGAUAAACACAAUAAAAUACAUGCAAAACUUGAGUUCUCUGAUGACACCGCUGACACCGCUGCAGACUUGGCAGAUGCUGCCGCUGAAGACGAUUGCUGCGAUUUGGGAGAUUGCUGUCAAUUCUGCUGUUGUUUCCUCUGUAAACUUUGCGAUUUCCUUUGCUGUUGUUUUUGCAGCAAUGAUGACGAAUAACUGGAGGAGCUGAGCAGACGCUGAGCAGGAGGAUCCCGAGCGAGAAGAACACAACGCUGCGGCCAGGAUGAGCUUCAGCUCCUGUCAAGGAUUCAGAUAUUUGAUGUGGGUUAUCUGUUAUUCACUCACAAAUGAAUGACUCAGUUUACAUGUUGGGCUGCCAGUAAACAUCAGAGGAUUCUUCAUAAUCAACUCCACAAUCCAAAUUUUCAUGCAUUUGUUUUUAAUUUGAACUGUUUCCCGGAGAUGGGUUGCGGCUGGAAGGGCAUCCGCUGCGUAGAAACUUGCUGGAUAAGUUGGUGGUUCAUUCCGCUGUGGUGACCCCGGAUUAAUAAAGGGACUAAGCCGACAGGAAAAUGACAAGAAAUGUUUUUAAUGUGAACUGAUCUUUUAACUCAUAUCAAUUUAUUCAUUUAUAAUAACAGUUUUUUUGCAUUGUUGUUGAGUCUGAUGCUCGUGUGGUCUGCAACAGUGACUUUCUAUAGUCAUUAAAGCACAUGCAGCUUAUAUAAAUAAACUCAUUUCUGCCAUGACUUUCUUGA